GACGGGGGGUCCAAGCGUUGUUCGGAAUCAUUGGGCGUAAAGCGUGUGCAGGUGGUUUUGUAAGUUGGAUGUGAAAGCCCCGGGCUUAACUCGGGAAGUGCAUUCAAAACUGCAAAACUUGAGUAUGGAAGAGGGUCGUGGAAUUCCAGGUGUAGUGGUGAAAUACGUAGAUAUCUGGAGGAACACCGGUGGCGAAGGCGGCGACCUGGUCCUAUACUGACACUCAUACACGAAAGCGUGGGGAUCAAACAGG
rnacentral:rRNA from 1 species